AACCAACGAGACCAACUGCGGCGG
rnacentral:miRNA from 1 species